rnacentral:rRNA from 1 species
UACAGAGGGUGCGAGCGUUAAUCGGAAUUACUGGGCGUAAAGCGUGCGUAGACGGCUAUCUAAGUCGGGUGUGAAAGCCCCGGGCUCAACCUGGGAAUUGCAUUCGAGACUGAAUAGCUAGGGUACGGUAGAGGGAAGUGGAAUUUCCGGUGUAGCGGUGAAAUGCGUAGAUAUCGGAAGGAACAUCAGUGGCGAAAGCGACUUCCUGGACCAGUACCGACGUUCAGGCACGAAAGCGUGGGGAUCAAACAGG